AAGUAAAUUUAGCUUAAUUUAGAGUAAUUAGUAAAAAGGAUUAAAUUGAAUAAAGGAUGAAAGUUAAAUUGUAGAUUAAAAGAAAAUGAAGAGGACCAAAAUGGAAAAUAGACCAUUUAGUAUAGUUGAGGCGGCAAACAAAGAAAAAGAUCUAAAGAUUUCUCUAGAUUAUUAUUGAAUUAUAAAUUAUAAAUUAUUAUUAACUAUUAUUAUUAAAUAAUAUUAUAUAUAUAUGUAUAUAAAACAAAUGAAGAAAAAGAAUAAAAAGAAACAAAGAAGAAUAAGAAACAGAGAGCAUUCGAAAAACAGGGGAAGAAAAGGGAAAGAAAAGAAAAAGGGAAAAUUGAGAUUUUGAAGCUUCAAACUUAUUUGCCAACAAAGAACCUGAAGCAUCAGCAUCGAAAGGAAAGGAGAAAGUCAUCGAGGACUAAAACGGGAGAA